UCUGCUGAUGAAAACCAGGCUGGCUGGCACCUGCAGCUCUGCGUUAGAGCACAACUUUGGAGGCCAGCUCUUGCUCAUUAGCGGUGAGAGCUGAACACAAAGGGCUCACCAUGGAGCUUGGGCUGAGCUGGGUUUUCCUGUUUGCAAUUUUGAAAGGUGUCCAGGGAGAGGCGCAGCUGGUGGAAUCCGGUGGGGGCUUGGUGCAGCCUGGGGGCUCCCUGAGACUCUCCUGCGUGGCCUCGGGAUUCACCUUCAGUAGCUAUGCCAUGAACUGGAUCCGUCAAGCCCCAGGAAAAGGGCUGGAGUGGAUCUCAGUGAUCUGGUAUGAUGGUAGUAAAAUGUACUACGCAGACUCCGUAAAGGGCCGAUUCACCAUCUCCAGAGACAACGGCAAGAACACACUGUAUCUGCAGAUGAGCAGCCUGAGACCCGAGGACACGGCCUUGUAUUACUGUGCAAAAAACACAGUGACAGAACAUCAAUGUGACCCCGGACAAAAACCUCACACUAGGGAGGGUUGGGCCAGCAGGGGUCGCUGUGGUCCAAGGGGAACAGGGCAGUGCCCCAGGAGCAGGUGCAGAGAAGGAAGUGGGGGGGGGGGCGAAAGCCUCCUGAGGCCUCUGGGGUUUCCAGCCUGCGUUAAAUCAUAGCACCUGAGCCAACCCUGC